rnacentral:rRNA from 1 species
UAUGAACGCUGGCGGCGUGCCUAAUACAUGCAAGUCGAGCGAACAGAUAAGGAGCUUGCUCCUUUGACGUUAGCGGCGGACGGGUGAGUAACACGUGGGUAACCUACCUAUAAGACUGGGAUAACUUCGGGAAACCGGAGCUAAUACCGGAUAAUAUUUCGAACCGCAUGGUUCGAUAGUGAAAGAUGGUUUUGCUAUCACUUAUAGAUGGACCCGCGCCGUAUUAGCUAGUUGGUAAGGUAACGGCUUACCAAGGCGACGAUACGUAGCCGACCUGAGAGGGUGAUCGGCCACACUGGAACUGAGACACGGUCCAGACUCCUACGGGAGGCAGCAGUAGGGAAUCUUCCGCAAUGGGCGAAAGCCUGACGGAGCAACGCCGCGUGAGUGAUGAAGGUCUUCGGAUCGUAAAACUCUGUUAUUAGGGAAGAACAUACGCGUAAGUAACUGUGCACGUCUUGACGGUACCUAAUCAGAAAGCCACGGCUAACUACGUG